UACGUAGGGUGCAAGCGUUAUCCGGAGUUAUUGGGCGUAAAGCGCGCGCAGGCGGUGCGGUAAGUCUCUGGUGAAAGCGCUCGGCUUAACUGGGCGAGGGCCGGGGAGACUGCCACGCUGGAGGGGAGCAGAGGCGAGUGGAAUUCCGGGUGUAGUGGUGAAAUGCGCAGAUAUCAGGAGGAACACCGGUGGCGAAGGCGGUUCUCUGGGCAUGUCCUGACGCUGAGGAGCGAAAGUGUGGGGAGCGAACAGG
rnacentral:rRNA from 1 species